rnacentral:rRNA from 1 species
AGCAGUAGCCGCGGUAAUACGUAGGUCCCGAGCGUUGUCCGGAUUUAUUGGGCGUAAAGCGAGCGCAGGCGGUUAGAUAAGUCUGAAGUUAAAGGCUGUGGCUUAACCAUAGUACGCUUUGGAAACUGUUUAACUUGAGUGCAAGAGGGGAGAGUGGAAUUCCAUGUGUAGCGGUGAAAUGCGUAGAUAUAUGGAGGAACACCGGUGGCGAAAGCGGCUCUCUGGCUUGUAACUAACGCUGAGGCUCGAAAGCGUGGGGAGCAAACAGGAUUAGAUACCCGCGUAGUCCCUGUCUCUUAUACA